UGGGGAAUAUUGCACAAUGGAGGGCACUCUGAUGCAGCGACGCCGCGUGAACGAAGAAGGCUUUCGAGUCGUAAAGUUCUUUUAUAUGGGAAGAUAAUGACGGUACCAUAAGAAAAAGCCCCGGCUAACUACGUGCCAGCAGCCGCGGUAAUACGUAGGGGGCUAGCGUUGUCCGGAAUCACUGGGCGUAAAGGGUUCGCAGGCGGAAAUGCAAGUCAGGUGUAAAAGGCAGUAGCUUAACUACUGUAAGCAUUUGAAACUGCAUAUUUUGAGAAGAGUAGAGGUAAGUGGAAUUUUUAGUGUAGCGGUGAAAUGCGUAGAUAUUAAAAAGAAUACCGGUGGCGAAGGCGACUUACAGGGCUCAUUCUGACGCUGAGGAACGAAAGCGUGGGUAGCAAACAGG
rnacentral:rRNA from 1 species